UGACACUAUACAGUUUGGUUGAUAUAUUCUGUCCUUUUAUUGAUUGAGCAGUGGCGAUCAUGACAUAGAGGUACCAUUCUUGGGAACUCAAGCAUGGAUAAGAUCCUUAAACUACUCUAUUGUUGAUGACUGGAAUCCAUGGCACUUUCAAGGUCAAGUCGCAGGAUACACGAGGACUUACUCUAGUCGAUUGACAUUUGCGACUGUAAAGGGUGGAGGGCACACUGCUCCUGGAUACAGGCCUGCAGAAUGUUU